GGCCUUGUGGCGCAACGGUAGCGCGUCUGACUCCAGUUUAACUUGGAAUCAAGUCGUCGAACAACGACGGCCACGAUGGCUUCAGUCCCCAACGUGGGAACGAGCUGAUCAGAAGGUUAUCCGUUCAAAUCGGGUCAGGGUCA